AUGGCCUCUAUGUAUGGAGAAAUAAUAGAGGCAAAGAAGGCAAUAUUGGUUGUGGUUGAUAAUUCGGACAAGGAAUAUAAGGUGAUCACAACGGCCAUGGAGAGCAAGAUGAAGGGGAGGCUAGAUACCCCAUUGCACAUGGCUGCAUAUGCCUUGAAUCCAUAUUAUAGUUAUGCUACCACAAGCAUCUUUACCGAUGUGGAAGUCAUGUCCGGCUUGAUGGAAGUUAUUGAGCAAUUUUAUCUCGAUGAUGAUGAGAAGCAAAACAAAGUGCUUAACAUUGUCUUGCCCAAAUUUAAAAAGAAGGAAGGCAUGUUUGGGAAGGUGGCUGCCACCAAAGCAAUUACCAAUGCAAAUUUCAAUGUCGGUGAGUGGUGGGCAACUUAUGGACUACAAACUCCUACAUUGAUGCACAUUGCUUUGAGGAUACUCAACUUGACCACAAGUUCAUCCGGAUGUGAAAGAAAUUGGAGUGUUUUUGAACAAGUGGAUGCAAAGAGGAGAAAUAAACUAGACGUGCAUCAUAGGGACGAUCUAGUUUAUAUCCAAUUCAAUGGAAGAAUGAUAGACAAGAGGAAGAAGUACUCCUCAUCUUGUGAUGUUCUUCUUGGUGAAGAUGCUUCCAUGGCACAAGAUUGGAUAUGUGAAGGUGCUUACGUUGAUGCUACGGAGGAGGUUGAUGCAAUGGGAGCUUCCGAGUUUGUUGAGCUACAUAGAAGUGCAAGAGUGAGAGAACUUCAUGAAGUGGAAGAAUUUGUUUCUGAUGGGGAAGAAUCUGAUCACGGGCUUGUCAAUGAGGAUGACAUAGACUUUGAGUCCGAUGAUGAUGGGGUGAUACAAGGUGCCAAUGAAGAUGAGGAGGGGGGCCCGAUGGAGCCUUAA
rnacentral:rRNA from 1 species